AAAACAUGUCUCUUUGAUUAUGUGAAUAUAAAGAGUUGUGCCUGCUCGGUGAAUUGUUUUUAACAGCUGCGGUAUUAUAACUGUACUAAGGUAGCAUAAUAACUUGCCUUAUAAAUUGGGGCUAGAAUGAAUGGUUUGACGAAAGUUAUGCUGUCUCUAUCUUAAUUAGUUGAAUUUAAUUUUUAAAGUGAGAAAGCUUAAAUGAUUUAAAGGGACGAGAAGACCCUAUUGAGCUUUAAAUAUUAAUUUAAAUAGAAAUAGUUAUUUAAGCUUAAUAAUUUUGAUUGGGGUAAUCAAGGAGUGAAUAGUUUUAUAUCUUCCUUAAAUAAUUGUUAAUAUUAUGAUAAUAUAAAUAAAUAAAUAAACCGAUUUUUUUUGCUUUUAAGAUAAGUUACCAUAGGGAUAACAGCGUAAUUUUUUUUGAGAGUUCAUAUUAAAAAAAGAGAUUGCGACCUCGAUGUUGGAUUAAAAUUACCUUAAGGUGGAGAAGCUUUAUUUGGUGAAUCUGUUCGAUUUUUAAAAUUUUACGUGAUCUG
rnacentral:rRNA from 1 species